CAAGUAUGUUUCAGAGCUCUGGAGUCCAGCACCACCCUCCAGAACCAAAAGCCCAAACAGAAGGGAAUGAAGAUUCAGAGGGCAAAGAGCAACCUUGGGAAAUGGUGAUGGAUAAGAAACACUUUAAGCUGUGGCGGCGCCCAAUUACAGGCACCCACCUUUACCAGUACCGAGUUUUUGGAACCUACACAGAUGUGACACCUCGGCAGUUCUUCAAUGUUCAGCUGGACACAGAGUAUAGAAAAAAAUGGGAUGCCCUGGUGAUCAAGCUGGAGGUUUGUGUGAUGCAGAACACUAAUCCUGCCCCUCCAUUUCUUUAGUAUCCAAUGUACUCACGGGAUUAUGUUUAUGUUCGGCGGUAUAGUGUGGAUCAGGAAAACAACAUGAUGGUGUUGGUGUCGCGUGCUGUGGAGCAUCCGAGUGUGCCAGAGUCUCCAGAAUUCGUCAGGGUCAGAUCAUAUGAAUCCCAAAUGGUCAUUCGUCCCCACAAGUCAUUUGAUGAGAAUGGCUUUGACUACUUACUGACAUACAGUGACAAUCCCCAAACGGUGUUUCCUCGCUACUGUGUUAGUUGGAUGGUUUCCAGUGGCAUGCCAGAUUUCCUGGAGAAGCUGCACAUGGCCACUCUGAAAGCCAAGAAUAUGGAGAUUAAAGUAAAGGACUACAUCUCAGCUAAGCCUCUGGAAAUGAGUAGUGAAGCCAAGGCCACCAGCCAGUCCUCUGAGCGAAAGAACGAGGGCAGCUGUGGCCCUG
rnacentral:sRNA from 1 species